rnacentral:rRNA from 1 species
AUACGUAGGGGGCGAGCGUUGUCCGGAAUGAUUGGGCGUAAAGGGCGCGUAGGCGGCGCUUCAAGUCGUCUGUCAAAUGGGAGGGCUUAACCCUUUUUCGCAGACGAAACUGGAGAGCUUGAGAAGCAGAGAGGCAAACAGAAUUCCUGGUGUAGUGGUGAAAUGCGUAGAUAUCAGGAAGAAUACCAGUGGCGAAGGCGGUUUGCUGGCUGCAUACUGACGCUGAAGCGCGAAAGCCAGGGGAGCAAACGGGAUUAGAUACCCCGGUAGUCCUGGCAGUAAACGAUGUAUGCUGGGUGUGAGACUAGCGAUAGUUUCGUGCCGAAGUUAACGCGAUAAGCAUACCGCCUGGGGAGUACGGUCGCAAGAUUGAAACUCAAAUGAAUUGGCGGG